rnacentral:sRNA from 1 species
ACUGCUUUAUUUUCAUAUCCCUCAUUGAGGUUGGCCCGAUAAGUUCUUUUACGUUUCAUACUUAUCGGGCUUUUUAUU